rnacentral:ncRNA from 1 species
AGUUUGCUGCCCUGUUCAGGUGCGCUUUGGGUUCUCAGAAUCCAAAGCGUUAAAUGGGAAGUUGGUGCAAAGCCAACGCUGCCCUCGCAACGGUAAACAGGUUUAACCCCUUGUAAGCCCGAUACCGGCCUAACAAGGCACGACCUA